rnacentral:rRNA from 1 species
GUUCUUUAAAUGAGGACUAGUAUGAAUGGCACCACGAAGGUUAUACUGUCUCCUUUCUUUAAUCAGUGAAACUAAUCUCUCCGUGAAGAAGCGGGGAUAAACCUAUAAGACGAGAAGACCCUAUGGAGCUUUAAACAUAAGUAACAACUGCCCAUUAAAUUUUUUAAUCUCAGGAGAUUAAUCACAACACUUAGGCACUUUGAUUACAAGUUUUAGGUUGGGGUGACCGCGGAGCAAAAAAUAACCUCCGCAGUGAAUGGAACUUAUUUCCUAAACCCAGGGCUACGACCCUAAGAAUCAAUAAAUUGACACUGAUUGACCCAAUAUUUUUGAUCAAUGAACCAAGUUACCCUAGGGAUAACAGCGCAAUCCACUUCAAGAGCCCCUAUCGACAAGUGG